rnacentral:rRNA from 1 species
UACAGAGGUCUCAAGCGUUGUUCGGAUUCAUUGGGCGUAAAGGGCGCGUAGGCGGUCUUGUAAGUCAGCUGUGAAAGCCCGGGGCUCAACCCCGGAGGGUCGGCUGAUACUGCAGGACUGGAGUACGGAAGAGGUAGCUGGAAUUCCCGGUGUAGCGGUGAAAUGCGCAGAUAUCGGGAGGAACACCGGUGGCGAAGGCGGUUCUCUGGGCCUUACCUGACGCUGAGGAGCGAAAGCGUGGGGAGCAAACAGG